UUCGGCUGCCCGCUGUGGCCAGUGCCCAGCACUCAGAGCCCAUGCCAGCAGAGGCCUGCCUGCAGCAGGACCCGCCCCCACCUAGGGGGUCGGAGCCCCGCCCCCGGCAUCACCCCUGGACUCACUAGGGGGAGAGCGACACCGUGUGUUGUGGCCCAGAACUGGCUGCGGCCAGACCGACCCGACCCAGGGAUUCUGCCUCCUCCCCAGAGCCAGUGUCCAGACCCCACACCCUCCCCAGAGCCAGAGUCCAGACCCCAGCCCCUCCUCCUCAGAUGCAGGGGUCCAGACCCCAAUCCCUCCCUCCUCAGACCCGGGGGUCCAGACCCCCAGCUCCUCCUCCCUCAGCCUCGGGACUCCAGUGACCCUGUAAAGAAUGAAAUCCUUCAUCCAGCCUGCCCCGCCUUGACCGCCCCCCCCUCCCCCCCCCGGAGGGGCGUCCCCGGCCCGAGUCUGCAGACUGCAAGGUGGGGGCGCAGGCAGGGAGCCCUAGGGCUGUGGUAGGGGGCCGGGGGGGCCCGCACACCCCCGCCCAGGUUUAGAGCGAGAUGACCGAUGCCAACUCACUUGCUUCUUUUUAAGUAAGCUUUUGAUUUCGGAAUCAUUUUUAUUGUUUUAAAGUCUUUAUUGAAUUUGUCACCAUGGUGCUUCUGUUUCACGUGUUGGCUUUUUGACCCUGAGGCGUGUAUGAUCUUAGCUUCCCAACCAGGGAUUGAACUUGCACCUCCUACUUGCCUGGGAGGCGGACCUCUGGACCUCCAGGGAAGUCCCAUAUCCCAGAAUCAUUUCUGGAUGCACUGGACAGCUGCUUUGAGCUCCCACGUCCCCUGCCGCAGCUCCCCGCCAGACACAGCCUCAGCCGUCUCUGCAGCCGCACGCCUGGUCUUCUCCACACUCACAGUUGGCCUGUCAUCAACUCGAAGCUCAGCUCAUCCAGCUCCACCCUCACCCCUUCCCAGUCCCACUGCCAUUAAAAUCCCAUCUCUCCCUCCAUGCCCACCCUCUCAUCAGACCUAAUCUGUCCUCCACCCCAAUCCCAACCUGUCAUCCAGGCAAGCUUGUGUUUGGAUGGUUGGAUGGAUUACGGCUUGGGUUAGUCCUGGAACUGCGCUGAGAAAGAGAAAGAAGGAGGUUGCCUGGAGGAGGGCAUGGCCACUCACUUCAGUGUUCUUGCCUGGGAAACCCCGCAGGCAGAGGAGCCUGGCGGUCUACAGUCCACGGCUGUGCCUGAGCAACUAACACCCUUGGGGGCUUAGGGGGGAGCUCCCUCUGGAGGUCAGGGUGGGGGACAGGCCCGGGGGAGGGCCGCCGUCAGACCUGGAUGAGACCCCCCGCCCGCCCGCCUCACCCGCUCCUGCAGCAUCCCGCUGAGGUCCCCACAGGGCGCGUACUCCUGGGCGAAGGCGAAGUGGCGUGGGGUCUCCAGCGGUCCCGCCAGUGUCUGGAGCAGGCCUGGAUGUGAUGACACACAGCGGCCCACACAGAACUCUCUCAGGAAGGUGGUUCUGAAGACCGAGGCCCGUGGGAGGAGCUUCAGAGCCACGGCCCGACCUGCCGGGGGUGGGGUCAGAGGGCAAGUCAGGGCCCUGAGCAUCAAUCCCUGGGCGGGCAUGGUGCUUGACCUCUGCCUGCCUCUCCUUUCUCCAUCUGUAGGGGGUUUGUUGGAGGACCCCUUCCCUGGGGACUCUCUCUGCUCUCUCUCAGAUUGCUGUGCGACCCUGCACCACCGCCUGACCCUCUCUGGACCUCCAUUUCCUCUCGCGUGAACUGGGGGACGUGCCAACUGGACUAGCAAUCCUAGUCAUGCUUCUGCCUUGCUGUGUGACCUCAGGCAAGCCUCUCCCCGUCUCUGGGUGAGAGCUCUGGUUCCCUGCGCGAUGAUCACAGAGCUCUUAACGUUCUGAGGGCCCAUUGGGAGGAGUCCUGAUCAGCUCCCCCAGGGAUGCUCCCUGUCGCGGUGGGCACGAGGACCCUAAGAGGGGAACAUCUGCCCUUCGGUGGCCACACUCACCCCCUUGCCGAGGCCGGGCAAGCAGCACGUGGCCGUAGGAGCCCGA
ensembl:lincRNA